rnacentral:rRNA from 1 species
UGCGUAGGCGGCGCGGUAAGUCGGGUGUGAAAUCUCGGGGCUUAACUCCGAAACUGCAUUCGAUACUGCCGUGAUUGAGGACUGGAGAGGAGACUGGAAUUUACGGUGUAGCGGUGAAAUGCGUAGAUAUCGUAAGGAAGACCGGUGGCGAAGGCGGGUCUCUGGACAGUUCCUGACGCUGAGGCACGAAGGCCAGGGGAGCAAACG